rnacentral:rRNA from 1 species
GACGAACGCUAGCUACAGGCUUAACACAUGCAAGUCGAGGGACCGGCGCCCGGGCGAGUAACACGUAUCCAACCUUCCCUUUCCUCGGGGAUAGCCUUUCGAAAGAAAGAUUAAUACCCGAUAUAAAGGAUGGGGAUGCGUUCCAUUAGGUUGUUGGUAAGGUAACGGCCCACCAAGCCUUCGAUGGAUAGGGGUUCUGAGAGGAAGGUCCCCUACAUUGGAACUGAGACACGGUCCAAACUCCUACGGGAGGCAGCAGUGAGGAAUAUUGUUGAAUGGGCGGUUGCCUGAACCAGCGAAGUAGCGUGAAGGAUGUUGGGCUAUGGGUCAGAUGUUUAUAAGAUAUAAAGAGAUGUAUUAUAGGAAUAAGGUGCGGCUAACUCCGUGGCAGCAGCCGCGGUAAUAC